ACCAUCCCAAAUCGUGACCCAUCAAAUCUAAGCACUGGUUUGAGUGGUUGUGAAAGGAGGCAAAGGAACUCUAACACAGACUUGGAUUCUUGUGUGCCAUACAAGUUGCUUUCAAACAAAC
rnacentral:snoRNA from 1 species